UAAAAAACCUUUGUUGUGCUAUUCUAAAAUUGGAACUAUACAGAGGUUAGCAUGGCCCCUGCACAAGAAUGACAACACAAAUUCAUGGAGUCUUCCAUUACAAA
ensembl:snRNA U6 U6 spliceosomal RNA